rnacentral:tRNA from 1 species
UUUUUCAUGGUGUAGUGGUUUGCUCAUUGGACUAUAACUCUGGAGACCAGGGUUCAAAUCCCCAUUUGGAUA